rnacentral:rRNA from 1 species
CGUAACACGUGGGUAACCUGCCUGGAUGCGGGGGACAACUUGGGGAAACUCGAGCUAAUACCGCAUACGCUCCGAGGACCACGGUCCGAGGAGGAAAGAUGGCCUCUUCUUGAAAGCUAUCGCUUCCAGAGGGACCCGCGCUCGAUUAGCUAGUUGGUGGGGUAACGGCUCACCAAGGCGACGAUCGAUAGCCGGCCUGAGAGGGUGAUCGGCCACACUGGGACUGAGACACGGCCCAG